rnacentral:rRNA from 1 species
CCUACGGGCGACAGCAGUAGGGAAUCUUUCACAAUGGGCGAAAGCCUGAUGGAGCAACGCCGCGUGCAGGAUGAAGGCCUUCGGGUUGUAAACUGCUUUUAUAAGCGAGAAAUAUGAUGGUAACUUAUGAAUAAGGAUCGGCUAACUACGUGCCAGCAGCCGCGGUCAUACGUAGGAUCCGAGCAUUAUCCGGAGUGACUGGGUGUAAAGAGUUGCGUAGGUGGCAUAAUAAGUAGCUAGUGAAAUCUGGUGGCUCAACCAUUCAGACUAUUAGCUAAACUGUUAACCUCGAGACCGUUAGGGGUAACUGGAAUGUCUAGUGUAGGAGUGAAAUCCGUAGAUAUUAGAAGGAACACCAAUAGCGUAGGCAGGUUGCUGGGACGGUUCUGACACUAAGGCACGAAAGCGUAGGGAGCAAACGGGAUUAGAUACCCGAGUAGUC